GAACUGUGUUGCUAGGUGAAGAUUCCAACUUCCUGGGCAGAGGGUCAUGUAGUGGAAUAGAGCUGUACCUGGCUUCAGGCGAGACUUGGAGCUCAAAACUUUCAGUAGGACAGCCAGGCGCGGUGGCUGAUGCCUGUAAUCCCAGCACUUUGGGAGGCCGAGCAACUCCAAAAUGGAAGUACUAUUGUUAUCUCCGUUUACAAAUUAGGAAACUGAGGCACAGAUAUGCUCUUGGGUACUUGUCAGCAGCAGUUGUUCUACAAGCUAAAUAUCUGGAUAUCUUAAAUCUCAGAUGAGCGUCUUAGCCUCUGGAUUACUGCUCAAUGAGGAAAGCUAUGAAAUGCAUGGAUAACUUGCUAAUCAGUAUUUGCCAUAUGUGCUAGCAGCAUCAGCAUCAGUUGGGAGAUUAUGGUGGCCUCCAUGUCAGACCUCCUAAAUCGGAAUAUCAGAGAAGGUGGCCCAGGUUACCAUGCUUCAUCUGCCAAUGCAUUGAAAACUUGGAAUGUAAAUUAAUUCAACCAUUGUGGAAGAUGGUGUAGUGAUUCCUCAAAGACCUAGAAGCAGAAAUAUCAUUUGAUCCAGAAAUCCCAUUACUGUGUAUACACCCAAAGGAAUAUAAACCAUUCUAUUACAAAGAUA
rnacentral:lncRNA from 1 species